rnacentral:rRNA from 1 species
UGAACGUUGGCGGCGUGGAUUAGGCAUGCAAGUCGAGCGAGAACCCGCAAGGGGGACAGCGGCGAACGGGGUAGGAAUAUCUAGGUAACGUACCCUCGGGGCGAGGACAGCCACGGGAAACUGUGGGUAAUACUCGAUAAACUUCCCAAUCAUUAUCGGAGGGGAAGCAAUGGGUGUGAUUCCACCUGAGGAGCGGCUUAGACAGUAUCAGCUAGUUGGUGAGGUAACGGCUCACCAAGGCUACGACGCUUAGGGGGUGUGAGAGCAUGGCCCCCACCACUGGCACUGAGACACUGGCCAGACACCUACGGGUGGCUGCAGUCGAGAAUCUUCGGCAAUGGACGCAAGUCUGACCGAGCGACGCCGCGUGCGGGAUGAAGGCCUUCGGGUUGUAAACCGCUGUCAGAGGGGAUGAAAUGUACGGGGGUACUCCCCUGUACUUGACAGAGCCUCAGAGGAAGCACGGGCUAAGUUCGUGCCAGCAGCCGCGGUAAUACGAACUGUGCGAACGUUAUUCGGAAUCACUGGGCUUAAAGGGUGCGUAGGCGGUUAUCUAAGUCAGGUGUGAAAUCUCUCGGCUCAACCGGGAAACUGCGCUUGAAACUGGGUGACUGGAGGGAUGCAGGGGUGUGUGGAACUUCCGGUGGAGCGGUGAAAUGUGUAGAUAUCGGAAGGAACGCCAGCAGUGAAAGCGGCACACUGGGCAUUUACUGACGCUGAGGCACGAAAGCUAGGGGAGUGAACGGGAUUAGAUACCCCGGUAAUCCUAGCCGUAAACACUGAGCACUGGGGGAGGGAGGUUUCGGCCUUCUUUCCCGUAGCGAAAGCGUAA